GAAAGAGUGCGUAAUAGCUCACUGGUCGAGUGACCCCGCGCCGAAAAUGUACCGGGGCUAAACAUAUUACCGAAACUGUGGAUGAACCUCUUUAGAGGUUCGUGGUAGGAGAGCGUUCUAAGGGCGGUGAAGUCAGACCGGAAGGACUGGUGGAGCGCUUAGAAGUGAGAAUGCCGGUAUGAGUAGCGAAAGAAGGGUGAGAAUCCCUUCCACCGAAUAUCUAAGGUUUCCUGAGGAAGGCUCGUCCGCUCAGGGUUAGUCGGGACCUAAGCCGAGGCCGAUAGGCGUAGGCGAUGGACAACAGGUAGAGAUUCCUGUACCAGUGCUAAUUGUUUAACCGAUGGGGUGACACAGAAGGAUAGGGAAUCGCACGAAUGGAAAUGUGCGUCCAAGCAGUGAGUGUGAGAAGUAGGCAAAUCCGCUUCUCGCGAAGCAUGAGCUGUGAUGGGGAAGGAAAUUAAGUACGGAAGUUCCUGAUUUCACGCUGUCAAGAAAAGCCUCUAGGAAGAGUAGUACUGCCCGUACCGCAAACCGACACAGGUAGAUGAGGAGAGAAUCCUAAGGUGAGCGAGAGAACUCUCGUUAAGGAACUCGGCAAAAUGACCCCGUAACUUCGGGAGAAGGGGUGCUCUAUUAGGGUGCAAGCCCGAGAGAGCCGCAGUGAAUAGGCCCAGGCGACUGUUUAGCAAAAACACAGGUCUCUGCAAAACCGUAAGGUGACGUAUAGGGGCUGACGCCUGCCCGGUGCUGGAAGGUUAAGAGGAGUGCUUAGCUUCGGCGAAGGUACGAAUUGAAGCCCCAGUAAACGGCGGCCGUAACUAUAACGGUCCUAAGGUAGCGAAAUUCCUUGUCGGGUAAGUUCCGACCCGCACGAAAGGCGCAACGAUCUGGGCACUGUCUCAACGAGAGACUCGGUGAAAUUAUAGUACCUGUGAAGAUGCAGGUUACCCGCGACAGGACGGAAAGACCCCGUGGAGCUUUACUGCAACCUGAUAUGGAAUGUUUGUACCGCUUGUACAGGAUAGGUAGGAGCCGAAGAGACGUGUGCGCUAGCAUACGAGGAGGCAAUGGUGGGAUACUACCCUGGCUGUAUGACCAUUCUAACCCGCCACGCUUAGCGCGUGGGGAGACAGUGUCAGGUGGGCAGUUUGACUGGGGCGGUCGCCUCCUAAAGAGUAACGGAGGCGCCCAAAGGUUCCCUCAGAAUGGAUGGAAAUCAUUCGCAGAGUGUAAAGGCACAAGGGAGCUUGACUGCGAGACUGACAAGUCGAGCAGGGACGAAAGUCGGGCUUAGUGAUCCGGUGGUUCCGCAUGGAAGGGCCAUCGCUCAACGGAUAAAAGCUACCCCGGGGAUAACAGGCUUAUCUCCCCCAAGAGUCCACAUCGACGGGGAGGUUUGGCACCUCGAUGUCGGCUCGUCGCAUCCUGGGGCUGUAGUCGGUCCCAAGGGUUGGGCUGUUCGCCCAUUAAAGCGGCACGCGAGCUGGGUUCAGAACGUCGUGAGACAGUUCGGUCCCUAUCCGUCGCGGGCGCAGGAAAUUUGAGAGGAGCUGUCCUUAGUACGAGAGGACCGGGAUGGACACACCGCUGGUGUACCAGUUGUUCCGCCAGGAGCAUCGCUGGGUAGCUAUGUGUGGCAGGGAUAAACGCUGAAAGCAUCUAAGCGUGAAGCCCCCCUCAAGAUGAGAUUUCCCAUUUCUUCGGAAAGUAAGAUCCCUGAAAGAUGAUCAGGUAGAUAGGUUUGGAGUGGAAGUGUAGCGAUACAUGGAGCGGACAAAUACUAAUCGAUCGAGGACUUAACCAAAA
rnacentral:rRNA from 1 species